rnacentral:rRNA from 1 species
UACGUAGGGUGCGAGCGUUGUCCGGAAUCAUUGGGCGUAAAAGGGCGCGUAGGCGGCUCAUGAAGGCUGUGGUGAAAGUCCGGGGCUCAACCUCGGAUCGGCCGUGGCGACUCGUGGGCUGGAGCACUGUAGAGGCGGGGUGGAAUUCCGGGGUGUAGCGGUGGAAUGCGUAGAGAUCCGGAAAGAACACCAGUGGCGAAGGCGGCCCGCUGG